AAGUUGGGCGCCGGCGACUGGCGGGGGCAGAGGGCCGGGCGCUCCCUCGGGCUCGCGCAGGUGCUCGGGCCUGGCCGGGCUGGGACCGCAGGCGCCUCUCCCGCGCUCGCCUAGCCCGGGCUGCCCCCGCACGCCCACGCCCCAGGUGUCCGGGCGCGCUUUACCCAGGGGCGCCGUGCCCAGGCCAGGAGGCCAGGGCGGAGCGGGUGAGGGAGAAGCCCAUUUAGAUUCAGAGGGAAGCCGGUCCUGGGAGACGGCCGCGAGGAACAAAGGCGCCCCAGUGCUGCCCACUUAGCAUGCCAGAGCCGCGCUGCUCGGCUCCCAGGCCGGGGACACGGCCCGGUGUUAAGCGGAGGGUGCCCGACCGCGGGAAUUCCUAAGGCCACGCGCACCUCCAAGGCCACCGCCGCACACAGCUUCGGAGUGCACAGUGCACACGCCCAGGCACAGGCAGCCGGCCCGAGAAAUUGUGAAUGUCUUGGCUUUGAGUUUAUCUGCGUAUCCUGGCGAAGUUUGGAUGCAGAGAACUUGGAGCUGUUGUUUUCUACCAGACACUAGGAUCCCUGAGAGAGGUGUCAUUCUUUCGCGCUGCACACACCUUCCUCCACGUGGUGAAGAUACAUCGCUCCUGACAGUAGAGAUGGGGUUUCACCGUGUUAACCAGGAUGGUCUCAAUCUCCUGACCUCGUGAUCCGCCCACCUUGUCCUCCCAAAGUGCUGGGAUUACAGGCGUGAGCCACCGCGCCCAGCCGAACUUGAGUCUUCUUAAUCAAGCCUCAUGCCUGACUGGACACUGAAAAAGAGGUGAAGAGAUGAGGCGAUAGAACAAAAGAACAGAAAGAUAAUGAAGCUGAGACUAACAUAAUUAUGUAUGCAGCCACAAAUGGAGCACAAAGCAAUUACUGCUUGUGGGAAUUUGAGAGAUGCUCUUUGAAGAGGUGUGAGGGAAUCAGUAAUACUUGCAGUGACUUUUAAGGAGGUGGAGUGUGCUGAUGAAGAUGCCACAAAGAACUGAUGGGAAGUUAUUCCUCUCCCCAACUGCUAUUGUAUCCUUCCUGUAGUGCUGUCUCUGCUUUUUGCAUCUUGCCCAGUAUAUUAUGACACAAAUAAAAAUUCUCUUUUCAUCAUCUUGCAA
rnacentral:lncRNA from 1 species